rnacentral:rRNA from 1 species
UACGUAGGGUGCAGGCGUUAAUCGGAAUUACUGGGCGUAAAGCGUGCGCAGGCGGCUUCCUAAGUCUGUCGUGAAAGCCCCGGGCUCAACCUGGGAAUGGCGAUGGAUACUGGCUCGCUAGAGUGCGGUAGAGGAGAGUGGAAUUCCCGGUGUAGCAGUGAAAUGCGUAGAGAUCGGGAGGAACAUCAGUUGCGAAGGCGGCUCUCUGGACCAGCACUGACACUGAGGCACGAAAGCGUGGGGAGCAAACAGG